rnacentral:lncRNA from 1 species
CAAGGCAUAUUGGACUAUGUAGUAGAAACUACCAAACCAAUUUCUCCUGCAAACCAGGGGAUCAAAGGAAAACGAGUGGUGCUGAUGAAGAAAUUUCCUCUGGAUGGAGAGAAGACAGGCAGGGAAGCAGCACUAUUUAUUGUUCCAUCAGUCGUCAAAGAUAAUACUAAAUAUGCAUAUACUCCCGGAUGUCCAAUCUUUUACUGCUUACAAGAUAUUAUGAGAGUUUGUAGUGAAUCCAGUACUCACUUUGCAACACUUACAGCAAGAAUGUUAAUAGCCUUGGAUAAGUAAGAAAUGCAUUAAGAAUAAUUUAAUCUAUCAUAAUCAUGAAAUUAGUUUGAGAUAUACUUCUGGAAAAAAUUAAUGAAAAUAACCUAUUAUAUUAAAAAUGGUCAAUUUUUUAGUUGCCUUGUCUAUUUACAGUGUGUUAAUUUUUCUUUGAAAAAUAAAAACGCUUCCCAGCUUUCAGGAU